rnacentral:rRNA from 1 species
GAUGAACGCUGGCGGCGUGCCUAAUACAUGCAAGUCGAGCGAACAGACGAGGAGCUUGCUCCUCUGACGUUAGCGGCGGACGGGUGAGUAACACAUGGAUAACCUACCUAUAAGACUGGGAUAACUUCGGGAAACCGGAGCUAAUACCGGAUAAUAUAUUGAACCGCAUGGUUCAAUAGUGAAAGACGGUUUUGCUGUCACUUAUAGAUGGAUCCGCGCCGCAUUAGCUAGUUGGUAAGGUAACGGCUUACCAAGGCAACGAUGCGUGGCCGACCUGAGAGGGUGAUCGGCCACACUGGAACUGAGACACGGUCCAGACUCCUACGGGAGGCAGCAGUAGGGAAUCUUCCGCAAUGGGCGAAAGCCUGACGGAGCAACGCCGCGUGAGUGAUGAAGGUCUUUGGAUCGUAAAACUCUGUUAUUAGGGAAGAACAAAUGUGUAAGUAACUAUGCACGUCUUGACGGUACCUAAUCAGAAAGCCACGGCUAACUACGUG